rnacentral:rRNA from 1 species
AGUGGCGGACGGGUGAGUAACGCGUGGGUAACCUGCCUCAUACAGGGGGAUAACAGUUAGAAAUGACUGCUAACACCGCAUAAUAUAGCGAAACCGCAUGAUUUUGCUAUCAAAUAUUUAUAGGUAUGAGAUGGGCCCGCGUCUGAUUAGCUAGUUGGUGGGGUAAAAGCCUACCAAGGCGACGAUCAGUAGCCGGCUUGAGAGAGUGACCGGCCACAUGGACUGAGACACGGCCCAAACUCCUACGGGAGGCAGCAGUGGGGAAUAUUGGACAAUGGGGGAAACCCUGAUCCAGCCGACGCCGCGUGAGUGAAGAAGUAUUUCGGUAUGUAAAGCUCUAUCAGCAGGGAAGAUAAUGACAGUACCUGACUAAGAAGCCCCGGCUAACUACGUGCCAGCCGCGGC